AGUGAACGCUGGCGGUAGGCCUAACACAUGCAAGUCGAACGGCAGCACAGUAAGAGCUUGCUCUUACGGGUGGCGAGUGGCGGACGGGUGAGGAAUACAUCGGAAUCUACUUUUUCGUGGGGGAUAACGUAGGGAAACUUACGCUAAUACCGCAUACGACCUACGGGUGAAAGCAGGGGAUCUUCGGACCUUGCGCGAUUGAAUGAGCCGAUGUCGGAUUAGCUAGUUGGCGGGGUAAAGGCCCACCAAGGCGACGAUCCGUAGCUGGUCCGAGAGGAUGGUCAGCCACACUGGAACUGAGACACGGUACAGACUCCUACGGGAGGCCACAGUGGGGAAUAUUGGACAAUGGGGGAAAGCCUGAUCCAGCCAUACCGCGUGGGUGAAGAAGGCCUUCGGGUUGUAAAGCCAUUUUGUUGGGAAAGAAAAGCAGCAGGUUAAUACCCCGCUGUUCUGACGGUACCCAAAGAAUAAGCACCGGCUAACUUCGUG
rnacentral:rRNA from 1 species